UACGGAGGAUCCAAGCGUUAUCCGGAUUUAUUGGGUUUAAAGGGUGCGUAGGCGGAUUAUUAAGUCAGUGGUGAAAGCCUGCAGCUUAACUGCAGAACUGCCAUUGAUACUGAUGAUCUUGAGUACAGUUGAGGUGGGCGGAAUGUGUCAUGUAGCGGUGAAAUGCAUAGAUAUGACACAGAACACCUAUUGCGAAGGCAGCUCGCUAAACUGUAACUGACGCUGAGGCACGAAAGCGUGGGGAUCAAACAGG
rnacentral:rRNA from 1 species